UCGGCGUGCACGCGCAUGCAGGACCAGGCACGUAACCGUUUGGAGACUGUCUGGAGUCUGUCUGAAAUAGAUAAAAUUGAAAAUGGACUUUUAGAUAUCUGUGUUCAUUUACAAGGAAGCCGCCUGUUGGAAAAUGGGAUCUUUGCUCUCCUCCUCGAGCGCCUUCGCCCACCAGUCGCCACGCUCUGGCAAAAAUGUAGAUUUUUUUCUAGAUAAACGUUGUGAAAGUUUUUUCUUCUGCAGUCUAUCAGGAGACAGCUCUUUAUGCACAGGGAAUCACCCUUCAGCCCUGGAGUUCAAGAGGAGUGCACCAUCCAGAAGGCAGCCUACAAGAGCACAGAAAGGCCUGUCCCUAACCUGAACCAGUGUCUGACAAAAAAUGAUUGGAAAUGCAAUUAGAAAGGAGAGCCCUGGUUUCUUGAAGUCUGUCAUGCCUUCAUAUGUUUGACCCUGAAGUGUACCCGCCCAAAUGGACUGGCAGCUUCUUCUUAACAGCUCUAUUGCAAGGCACUCUACACCCAAACUGCAGUGUGGAAAAUUUAAAGUGCAGGGAGCUAGCUGGUGUACUAGGAGGAAGAUGUCAUGCUAAGGAUGGGUUUUGGUGAUGAUGUUGCUACUGUUGAUGCAGCAUCGAGCUCUCACUUUGUGCCUCUGUCAGCUAUGAUCCGUAACCACAAAGUGAGUGACAGGCCAGUCCCUGGGGAAAGCAAGGGGGCCUGAGGUGAGUCAGAUGUAUCCUUGACCCUGUCUGGCUGUGUGUCAGCGAGCAACACAAACUCUGUAUGAAAAAAAA